rnacentral:rRNA from 1 species
UGCCAGCAGCCGCGGUAAUACGGAGGGGGCUAGCGUUGUUCGGAAUCACUGGGCGUAAAGGGCGUGUAGGCGGCGGAUUUAGUUAGGCGUGAAAGCCCCGGGCUCAACCUGGGAACUGCGCUUAAUACUGAUCUGCUAGAGUCCGGGAGAGGCUAGUGGAAUAUCCAGUGUAGAGGUGAAAUUCGUAGAUAUUAGGAAGAAUACCAGUGGCGAAGGCGGCUCACUGGACAGGUAUUGACGCUGAGGUGCGAAAGCGUGGGGAGCGAACAGGAUUAGAUA